UACGUAGGGUGCAAGCGUUAAUCGGAAUUACUGGGCGUAAAGCGUGCGCAGGCGGUGAUGUAAGACAGUUGUGAAAUCCCCGGGCUCAACCUGGGAACUGCAUCUGUGACUGCAUCGCUGGAGUGCGGCAGAGGGGGAUGGAAUUCCACGUGUAGCAGUGAAAUGCGUAGAUAUGCGGAGGAACACCGAUGGCGAAGGCAAUCCCCUGGGCCUGCACUGACGCUCAUGCACGAAAGCGUGGGGAGCAAACAGG
rnacentral:rRNA from 1 species